AAGGAUCAUUAAUAAACCUAGUCGUUCGCGUACAUAGGGGCAACCCUCGCGUGAUGUCAGCAAUACCUAGGUAACCCUUGAAUAAACUACCCUUGUUGCUUUGGCGGGUCGCCUUUCAGGCCAGCGGCUUCGGCUGCUGCGUGCCCGCCAGAGGACCACAACUCUUGUUUUUAGUGAUGUCUGAGUACUAUAUAAUAGUUAAAACUUUCAACAACGGAUCUCUUGGUUCUG
rnacentral:misc_RNA from 1 species